CAGUAGCCGCGGGAAUACGAAGGGGGCUAGCGUUGUUCGGAUUUACUGGGCGUAAAGGGCGCGUAGGCGGACUGAUAAGUCAGGGGUGAAAUCCCAAGGCUCAACCUUGGAACUGCCUUUGAUACUGUUUGUCUUGAGUUCGAGAGAGGUAAGUGGAACUGCGAGUGUAGAGGUGAAAUUCGUAGAUAUUUGCAAGAACACCAGUGGCGAAGGCGGCUUACUGGCUCGAAACUGACGCUGAGGCGCGAAAGCGUGGGGAGCAAACAGGAUUAGAUACCCCAGUAGUCCCUGUCUCUUAUAU
rnacentral:rRNA from 1 species